UCUCCCUAAUACUCUCUCUCUUCCCCCAACUCUCCUCAAUACACUCCCUCUUCUCCCCAGUACUCUCCCUCUUCCCCACAGUACUUUGACAUGGAGUCUACAGGCUCCAAUUCUCCAUCUCCCUCUCUCUCGUAUUCUCCCGUCUCUCCGUCUCCCUCUCUCCAUCUCCGUUCUCUCCCAGUUCAUCCUAUGGUUAUUGAUUUAUUUUUUCUAUUAAAUUAAUAAUAUUUUGUAAUUUUUUUAUCGUUUGAAAAUUUAAUUUUAGUUAUUUCUUAACAAUAUUUUCCUUGUAAUCAGUGCCAUUAUGAAUUUUAAUAAGAAUUAUUUCUUUAUUUUCUCUCUGUUGUUCACUUGCAGGGGUAUCAGCGUCUCAUGGAGGCAUACAUUUAGGAUGCCCAACGUGCUCGCAAACCUCAUGGCAAAUGACGGAGACGACCUCACAAACUGUCUUGGACUACCUCUAAGCUAGCUGAUGGGCCUUUCUCUCAUUUUUGUUCACUACUCACAUACAUGUUGCAAAUAGGGUGUUAUAUAAUCCCUUGCGGAGCCAACUCAUUGUUGUCUCAGUAUUGGACUUCUUUUUGGCUAUUUUGUAAAGGAUUACCUUGCCCGUUAGGGUUCUAGUAUAUCCCAAUUUUUGUAAGGGACGCUAGACCCAACACCUGUGUUUACUUCUUUUUUUAUUCAAUGAAACAGUCAACUUUCUGAAAAAAAAAAGAAAAAUUAAUGUGGUUUGUCUCUACAUUUUGCAAUCUACUGAAAUACAAUGUUAUGAAAUUGAGUAUAAUUGGAAUUGUAGACAAGGAAAAUUGGCUAGAGCUUUGUUGUUUGUUUCUUACAUGACUGUAUUCAGCAAAAUUGGACCAAGGUUUGCAAGCAAUUAUACUUUAUCCUUGUUUGAUAAUUGUAUGACCUGUUUUUUGUUUUGGGCAUUCUGUUUAUGCCUUUAGCAGUGUGAUGUGGUUCAUUUAAUUUGCAUCCAGUGGAGCCCAUGCCAUAUAUUUGUGGUGACAAAAUUGAAAUUAAGCUUUUGUUGCGUACUUCAUCCUAUUUUGAAUUCUACAGGCUAGCAAAAUUUGUGGGAAAAUCUUUGUUUUAGACUAAUGCUUUAUUUAUAUGUUUCAAGCUAUACAAGAACUCCAUUGAAAGAAUCAGCAGGGUGGUGCAAGAGUUAGAGUUUUAGAGAGAGAGAGAGAGAGAGAACUCCAUUGAAGAAAGUCGGUGGGUGGUGCAAGAGCUAGUGUUCAUAGGUCAAGUCGUGGCAAUGGUGCUCUCUCAAGCUGUCCCAGCCCUUGCUUUCUUCCAUGGCAGUUCAACUCAGACAGUAGAGUGAGGCCCUCCCCUCUUGGUUGCAGGUGCAAUUUUCUAUGCUUAUCUCUCUCUCUCUCUCUCUCUCUCUCUCACUCUAGAAUAAUGCAUACAUGACACUGUUUCUUAGGUGAUUUUUGACAUUGUUGUGGCUUCCUGUGUUUACUUGCUUUUUUAAAAUUUCAUGCUUUUGAUGGGUUCAGUUUCAGUGUGUGAUGUAGGCAUCCUUUAUAGGCUUCUUGAAUGUGGAAAACAGCAUCCGAACGUCACUAAAUGUGGAUGCUUAACUGAAUUUAGCCUCCACUGUGGUGUUUCCCACUUGGGAUGAUGCUGGGAUGUGAAUUUGAAUGGUCAUAGCUGAUGUUUAUUAAGCACUUGGUGAAAACCAUGUCCUAGAUUGCCACCUUUCUGGAAAUGGUCAUUUAUGAUUUGAAUUUGACCUCUAAAACUUUGAGUGGGUUAUCAUAUUGACAUGCUAACUUCUCUUACUGUUUAUCUAUAAUGUCCCCUUGAAAUGUUAGAGGCAAAGCUACACUUGAUACAAAGUUUUGUGCAUUUAUAUGGCAAUCUGUUCGAGGAACGGUAAUGUGGCACUUGGUCUGUUUGUGUCGGAUCCCCAUUAAAUUUGCUUUCGAUUUUGGCCCCUCCUUCAACUCUCCUUGUACUAAAUUUCUCUCUCUAUCAUUCUUCUGUUUUUAUAUGAAAUUAUGAAUUCUAUACUACCAUGGUCAUGCUGGUCUCAUCAACACAAGAACCACCUGCGCUUACUUCCAAAAUGUUUAGCAUUUAGAGUUCAGAGAGCUUUUCUUCCCACUUACCAAAGAAAAACACACACGCACACAGAUGUUUCCAAUUGGAUGUCUAUAGGAAACGAGUCGCAAAGGAAACUGCAGUUACAAAUCGAGGAGCAUGCGAGGUACCUCCAAAAGAUGGCCGAUGAGCGACAGAUAUGCGGACUUCAUCAAGAUUCAGUUUAGGAGAUGGCCAAAAGUCAUGAAUGUGCUGGUGCCAGUCUUAGACUGCAUAUGGGUUGUGGGUCUUACUUUAGCAUGAUACAGUGAUGCCAUCAGAGCUGGGUCAAGUCAAUUCAUCAAUAUAUAUUGUCAAGGGGUCAUCUUAAACGAGUAAACUAUCACAAUUUACCCCCAAAUUUUCAAGCUUAUGCAGUAUGUACUUCAUGGUGUAUAUAUUUUUGGUAAUCAUGCUCAAUACCUAUUGCUUUUAUCCCUUAUGACAACGGCUGAAAUGUUGAGAUCUUGAGAUUUUAAUUACUUUUGUUAAGCAUUUAAGCAUUUUUGCUUUUGUUCUUUAUGACAAUGGUUCAAAACAGUGUUUUAAAAAUUGGCGAGUCGAACCGUCCGGUUCGACUCGGGAACCGGCAUAGCCCAUGCCGGUUCCAGUACAAAACCGGGAACCGUCCGGUUCUAGAAAAGAACCGCCGGUUCCCAUCGGGCUUUACCUGGUUCAGCCCGGUUCCCUCCCGAUACGCAUGCGAUACGCACGUGCAAGCGUGCGACACGCACGUGCACGUACACGUGUGAGGUUGCCCCAAUAUUUGUACACAAAUGUUUUGAUUCAUAUUACAUAGGAUUUUAUAUAACAAAGUUUAAUACCCAUAUUUCGAUGUGGGAUAAUUCUCAAACAUCAUUAAAUGAAAUGGGAAUGUAAAUAUAUUCUAUUAAUCAGCAAGUUACAACCACAUGUGAUGAGGUAGUGUGGUGGUUAAGAUUUUUGCUUCUUCAUGUGAUGUCUCAAGGUCGAGUCCUCUUGUGAGCGUUACAUUUUGUGUUGUAUAGUUUUUGUUGUAUAUAUUGUACAAAUAUUUUUGUAAAUAAUAUAAAAAAUAUAAAAAAUGAAAAAUAAAAAAGUUAAUUUUUUGUAUAGCAGUUAAUUUUUGUCGUAUAUAGUGGUAUAAUUAUUUUUUUAAAUAAUAUGAAAAACAUAAAAAAAUAAAAAAUAAAAAGUUUAUUCUAUUUUAAAUCUCUAUCUUUCUACUAACAAUCUCUUUCACUAAAUUUAUUAUAGAAACCUAAAAAAA